AAUUCUCAACUUUAAAGAUUUAUUUCUUUAAAGCUUGGACUUUGGAGGUUGUUUGCAGGCAUAUUUACAUGUCAGCUCCUCUUAAAAGCAUUAGCAGAACUUUCAAGUGCUCAGCUAUUGGUUUGAUAAUUAAACAAUAUCUAUGCCAUGACUGAAAACUUUUAAUACAAGUUCAGCUUCUAAUGGUCUCAAUUUGAGACUGUCUCUUUAAUGAGGCAUACACUUUAA
rnacentral:misc_RNA from 1 species